AAAUUGAAGAGUUUGAUCAUGGCUCAGAUUGAACGCUGGCGGCAGGCCUAACACAUGCAAGUCGAACGGUAACAGGAAGCAGCUUGCUGCUUUGCUGACGAGUGGCGGACGGGUGAGUAAUGUCUGGGAAACUGCCUGAUGGAGGGGGAUAACUACUGGAAACGGUGGCUAAUACCGCAUAAUGUCGCAAGACCAAAGAGGGGGACCUUCGGGCCUCUUGCCAUCAGAUGUGCCCAGAUGGGAUUAGCU
rnacentral:rRNA from 3 species